GUUCUGAGAGACAGACUGUAGGAAGACGAGUGUGAGUUGUACUAAAAGGAGUGGGAAUGGGGAGAGGUGGCAUGGCAGUGUGAGAAGGCAGUGCCUGCAGGAAUGCAGGGAAUUGAGGCAAUCUCUGAGAGAAGUCAGUGCAGAUGUCUCCUUUGAAUAAAGCAAACUGAGGCUUUUGGGGAGACUUGAGUCCAUUGGUUGGGGAAUGGGAUGGAGAAAAUGAGAGAUUGUUUCUUCAGGCAGUGGAGGGAAUGGCACAUCUGCAAGAUCUAGUGCCAACUGUGCCUGGACUGAGAGCUGAGAAACUCUGUGCUUCAGUUCUUUUUCAUGUCAUGAAAUUAUUAAAUUCACAAGUUCUGGGAGAUUGAAAAUUACCUUUAAACUGCAGUUUGCAGUUUAUCAUUGGCUGUUCAACAUAUGUCUCUUUUUGGGAAAAAAAAAAAAAAAAGGUGACAUUUGCACUGAAGUGAGAUAAAAGCAGUUAUGUGAAUUUGCAUGAGCUGCUUUUUAUUUAUCAAAUGUUUAAAGAUGCUCCUGUGUUUUGAAACCUCCUAGGCUACUUGCCCGUUGCUGAGGUACCAUAUGUAAAAUUCUGACUUAGAGGACAUAUGUUGGUGAGUGUAACCCAAGAGGCUGAUUCUCUUUAUAUUUCACCUCUGUGUCGUGUCAGGGAAACUCCACUGAUUUAUCUGGGUGGGAGCAGAUUCAGGCCCCAAACCUCAGUUUGUGGUGGGAACUGUGUAACAAAUUCAUAAAUCACGUUCCUACAAACAAAAAACUCCAGCACACCACCUUAAUGAAACUUUUAGUAAUGGAGUAAUCAGAGCUGGAUCACACAAGGGCACAAACUGUCUCUCAAACUCACAUGCUUUUCUCUUCUGCCUGACCAUCCCUACGUGGCAUUUCUCUGCUGCAGAAGCACAGCACAAAGCUCCUGCUGACUGGACAGAGGGUCAGAUCAAUACAGGGUGGAUUCAGGUGCCUGCAGUGAUAAUCAAGAGAAGAAAGCCAUGGUAUUGCCCGCUUGAGAGUAGGGGAAAAAAAGGUUCAAAGUACAGACUCUGUCAGAUACGUGUCACGUCAGAAGCCUCAAGAAAGUGGUCUUAA
ensembl:lncRNA